ensembl:lncRNA
CACGUUGCAUGUUGGGAGGUCUGAGUCCUCAUUCUAUUCAUCCAUCAUAGGUUACAGCCAAGGAAUUCCCUGGUAGUCCAGGGUUAGGACUCUGUGUUUCCACUGCAGGAGGCAUGGGUUUGAUCCCUGGUCUGGAAACUAAGAUCUCGAAUGCCAUGUACAAUGGCCAAGAAAAAAAAAAAGAUUAUCGCCAGACACUGUGCCAAGCCUGGCAGUAAAAUGAUGACUAAGAGUAUUUUGUGCUUUCUGCUCACAGCCCAGUGGAGCAGGUGGGCAGGGAAGAGAGAAGACCUCCCUGUGGGUACCUCCAGGGGACACGUGAAGUCUAUGCCUCGUUGGGACUCCAUGCUCCUCUCUUCUUUCUGGUUUUGCCCCUGGCCUUUGUGCCUUGCACAGAGUAGUGUUCUUGAAAGAGUUGUUGGGUAUCACGUCUGGCACACCGCGACCAUCUGUCCUUCACUGUGAUGUUAAUUUUGAUCAUCUGGUGAAAGUCUUCUCUUAUUUCUCCAUUGUGUAGUGACUACUACUAUUUUCCCUUGGAAUUACUGAGCAAGUUGUGUGGAGACAUUCAAAUAUCCAGCUCCUCAUCAAAAUUUCUCCCUCAAUGUAGCGUUAAUAUGAUUCUUACCCAAACCAGUCGUUAUAAUGAUGGCUGCAGAAUGAUAAUUCAACACCAGCACUAUGUCCCCAUUUUUCAGUUGGCAACCAGCAUUCUACUGUAAGGAAGAGCUCCCUUUUUUGUCAUUUGUUAAUAAUGGAUACGGAUUCCUCAGUUUCUAUUUUUUCCUCUAAUGGUUUGUGAUUCAUUACUGUACUCAAUUAUUUUAGUGCUCAGGUUGUCCCUGACUUGUCCAGUGGAAACUGCUUUGAGUAGGCUGCCUCCAUCAUUUUUUAGGGUGCUUUCCUACUUUCUGGCAUGAUAAGAUAUUCCAGACUCAUCAUGUAUCCAUCCAUCCACCCGACUCCAGACCUGGAAUUGGUUAUUUUACCAAGGAGCCCUGCUCCUUUUUUUUGUUUGUAUUAUAGAAUGAUAUCUGAGUGCUAGGUAAGCUCACUGAUACUGGGAUGUUUUUAUUGCUUGGGUCUACAAGAGUCAGAACCAGGAAAUAUAUGCGUGUAUGGUAUAUAUACAUAUAAUAUACAUGCAAACAUACUUACCUAUAUGACUAUGCACAUGUACAAGUGUCAUGCAUAUAUAUAUAUGGUCAAUUCUCCUUAUUUUCCAUAGUUAUGUUCUAUAAAGUUGCCACAAACACUGAAUUAGAAAAUAUUAAACUAUUGUUAAGAGGGCAAAUAUAGGGUUGUGCUAAGUUAUACUUAGUCACUCAGUUGUGUCCAACUCUUUUCGACCCCACGGACUGUAGCCCGUCAGGCUCCUCCAUCCAUGGGGAUUCUCCAGGCAAGAUUACUGGAGUGGCUUGCCAUGCCCUCCUCCAAGGGAUCUUCCCAACCCAGGGAUCGAACCCAGGCAAAUUCUUUACUGUCUGAGCUACCAGUGACUACGGCUUGUUGAAAUUGCACCAAGAGCCUGACCACAUGCUUCAGAUGACAGUAUCCACAACAGGUGAACUCUAACUGUGCAAAGGACAAAAUCGGCUGCUGCUUGUUCAGUCUGCAGUGACUCUGCGAACAACAAACAUGCCCUGUUUCAUGAUCGAGCCCCUUUUAGAAGCAGCCUGGUAUGUAUCUGUUUUCCAGGCCACAUGCACUGACGCUGCGUAGUUGUGUUCCUGCAAGCCUCUGGUCACAUUUUUGUCAACUGAUCAAUACAUGACUUUGUUUUAUAUGUGUUUAUUUAAAGACACCUUAUUUAGUAUAUAUUGUUGACUCAUUGACAUUAAAUUCAUGGCCAAUAGCAUUAUAUUUCCAU